AUGGCGACAAGCGACUACUUUCAGCUCUCACUACAGUGCUAAAAUCUCUGCAUCCCGGAAAGCUUAGAAAAGAGAAGGACGUGGUCGAGGAAAAGCCAAAGUCAAAAGUUGACCUAAGGCAGCGGUUGGACUACAGUAAGAGGCAAGGAGACUAUGUGGUCAAAAACAUCUAUGAGAAGAAACAGGACUACACUUUCAAAAAGAAAGGUGUUGAAGGCUGUCAUACACAGGCGUCGGGAGUUUUGUGGUGGCUAGGUGCUCCAAAAGCCUGACUUUCCAGGCCAGACAAUAAAACUGCCAUUGCACAGUACCGUUCAAGGUUUACAGGCUAGUAAACGAGUCUCGUUUGGAACUCUACUGUUUUCAUGGUCAUGUUUUCUCAUUUUUGUUAUGUUUUUUUAGCAUACAUGCUUUAUAUGACAAAACUACAUGUAGUUUCUGUUUUGAACGUUUCAAAACUGCUGCUCCUAUUUCUCUUAGACACAAGAAAUGUGAAAAUACAAAUAUUAAUUCAUGAACAUGCAACUUGAACAUGUUGGCAGUAGCCCAUAUACUUCACGUUAAAUCCAGGUAGAUCCUGAUAUACUGAUUUUAUAUGA